rnacentral:rRNA from 1 species
CCUACGGGAGGCUGCAGUGGGGAAUAUUGGACAAUGGGCGAAAGCCUGAUCCAGCCAUGCCGCGUGUGUGAAGAAGGCCUUCGGGUUGUAAAGCACUUUCAGUGGGGAAGAAAGCCUUGGGGCUAAUACCCUCGAGGAAGGACAUCACCCACAGAAGAAGCACCGGCUAACUCCGUGCCAGCAGCCGCGGUAAUACGGAGGGUGCGAGCGUUAAUCGGAAUUACUGGGCGUAAAGCGCGCGUAGGCGGUCUGAUAAGCCGGUUGUGAAAGCCCCGGGCUCAACCUGGGAACGGCAUCCGGAACUGUCAGGCUAGAGUGCAGGAGAGGAAGGUAGAAUUCCCCGUGUAGCGGUGAAAUGCGUAGAGAUCGGGAGGAAUACCAGUGGCGAAGGCGGCCUUCUGGACUGACACUGACGCUGAGGUGCGAAAGCGUGGGUAGCAAACAGGAUUAGAUACCCCAGUAGUC